AGGAAGAACUAACGUAGAAGAAGAAGGCUGUGGGCGGCGGCGGGAAACAUAAAUAGGAGCUUUACUUUAUUUACUUUUAUUCUCCGAGUCCGGACUGUGAAAACUACCCAACAACAUGGUUCAAGAAUUUCAUGUACUGAGAUGUUUUUCCUGUCAAACAUAUCAAGUACAGCAGAUGAAGAAGAGUAAGACAUGGACAUGUAAAGUGUGCGGCGAGAAGCAGUCAGUGAAGAAGGAGUUUGGUCG